rnacentral:misc_RNA from 1 species
AAGUCGUAACAAGGUUUCCGUAGCUGCAAGUUAUGGAAUGAUCCUUUCGCAAAUUCACUUGCUGAAGCCUUAGCAGCCAGAAAUGGUUCACUGCGACUAUAAACAAAAGUGUGUGCUAGUCUAGUUAUUACUAGGCAACAUUGUCAAAUUGCGGGGAUGCCCUGUCAAAUUCAAGACUACCGCGGCCGCAUUGAAAGAUGCGGUGCAGCACCCGGUUAAUGGCCGUGGGGAAGGUAACAACGUCUUGACUGGGGUAAUCCGCAUCCAAGCGCUAA